rnacentral:rRNA from 1 species
UUAAGCGACUAAGCGUACACGGUGGAUGCCCUGGCAGUCAGAGGCGAUGAAGGGCGUGCUAAUCUGCGAUAAGCGCCGGUAAGGUGAUAUGAACCGUUAUAACCGGCGAUACCCGAAUGGGGAAACCCAGUGUGAUUCGUCACACUAUCAUUAACUGAAUCCAUAGGUUAAUGAGGCGAACCGGGGGAACUGAAACAUCUAAGUACCCCGAGGAAAAGAAAUCAACCGAGAUUCCCCCAGUAGCGGCGAGCGAACGGGGAGGAGCCCAGAGCCUGAAUCAGCAUGUGUGUUAGUGGAAGCGUCUGGAAAGGUGCGCGAUACAGGGUGACAGCCCCGUACACAAAAGCGCAUGUGCUGUGAGCUCGAUGAGUAGGGCGGGACACGUGGUAUCCUGUCUGAAUAUGGGGGGACCAUCCUCCAAGGCUAAAUACUCCUGACUGACCGAUAGUGAACCAGUACCGUGAGGGAAAGGCGAAAAGAACCCCGGCGAGGGGAGUGAAAAAGAACCUGAAACCGUGUACGUACAAGCAGUGGGAGCACAGGUUUACCUGUGUGACUGCGUACCUUUUGUAUAAUGGGUCAGCGACUUAUAUUCUGUAGCAAGGUUAACCGAAUAGGGGAGCCGGAGGGAAACCGAGUCUUAAUUGGGCGUUAAGUUGCAGGGUAUAGACCCGAAACCCGGUGAUCUAGCCAUGGGCAGGUUGAAGGUUGGGUAACACUAACUGGAGGACCGAACCGACUAAUGUUGAAAAAUUAGCGGAUGACCUGUGGCUGGGGGUGAAAGGCCAAUCAAACCGGGAGAUAGCUGGUUCUCCCCGAAAGCUAUUUAGGUAGCGCCUCGUGAAUUCAUCUCCGGGGGUAGAGCACUGUUUCGGCUAGGGGGCCAUCCCGGCUUACCAACCCGAUGCAAACUGCGAAUACCGGAGAAUGUUAUCACGGGAGACACACGGCGGGUGCUAACGUCCGUCGUGAAGAGGGAAACAACCCAGACCGCCAGCUAAGGUCCCAAAGUCAUGGUUAAGUGGGAAACGAUGUGGGAAGGCCCAGACAGCCAGGAUGUUGGCUUAGAAGCAGCCAUCAUUUAAAGAAAGCGUAAUAGCUCACUGGUCGAGUCGGCCUGCGCGGAAGAUGUAACGGGGCUAAACCAUGCACCGAAGCUGCGGCAGCGACGCUGAUGCGUUGUUGGGUAGGGGAGCGUUCUGUAAGCCUGUGAAGGUGUGUCGUGAGGCAUGCUGGAGGUAUCAGAAGUGCGAAUGCUGACAUAAGUAACGAUAAAGCGGGUGAAAAGCCCGCUCGCCGGAAGACCAAGGGUUCCUGUCCAACGUUAAUCGGGGCAGGGUGAGUCGACCCCUAAGGCGAGGCCGAAAGGCGUAGUCGAUGGGAAACGGGUUAAUAUUCCCGUACUUGGUGUUACUGCGAAGGGGGGACGGAGAAGGCUAUGUUGGCCGGGCGACGGUUGUCCCGGUUUAAGCGUGUAGGUGUGUGUUCCAGGUAAAUCCGGUUCACUUUAACACUGAGGCGUGACGACGAGGCACUACGGUGCUGAAGCAACAAAUGCCCUGCUUCCAGGAAAAGCCUCUAAGCAUCAGGUAACACGAAAUCGUACCCCAAACCGACACAGGUGGUCAGGUAGAGAAUACCAAGGCGCUUGAGAGAACUCGGGUGAAGGAACUAGGCAAAAUGGUGCCGUAACUUCGGGAGAAGGCACGCUGACACGUAGGUGAAGUGAUUUACUCAUGGAGCUGAAGUCAGUCGAAGAUACCAGCUGGCUGCAACUGUUUAUUAAAAACACAGCACUGUGCAAACACGAAAGUGGACGUAUACGGUGUGACGCCUGCCCGGUGCCGGAAGGUUAAUUGAUGGGGUCAGCGCAAGCGAAGCUCCUGAUCGAAGCCCCGGUAAACGGCGGCCGUAACUAUAACGGUCCUAAGGUAGCGAAAUUCCUUGUCGGGUAAGUUCCGACCUGCACGAAUGGCGUAAUGAUGGCCAGGCUGUCUCCACCCGAGACUCAGUGAAAUUGAACUCGCUGUGAAGAUGCAGUGUACCCGCGGCAAGACGGAAAGACCCCGUGAACCUUUACUAUAGCUUGACACUGAACAUUGAGCCUUGAUGUGUAGGAUAGGUGGGAGGCUUUGAAGUGUGGACGCCAGUCUGCAUGGAGCCGACCUUGAAAUACCACCCUUUAAUGUUUGAUGUUCUAACGUGGACCCGUAAUCCGGGUUGCGGACAGUGUCUGGUGGGUAGUUUGACUGGGGCGGUCUCCUCCUAAAGAGUAACGGAGGAGCACGAAGGUUGGCUAAUCCUGGUCGGACAUCAGGAGGUUAGUGCAAUGGCAUAAGCCAGCUUGACUGCGAGCGUGACGGCGCGAGCAGGUGCGAAAGCAGGUCAUAGUGAUCCGGUGGUUCUGAAUGGAAGGGCCAUCGCUCAACGGAUAAAAGGUACUCCGGGGAUAACAGGCUGAUACCGCCCAAGAGUUCAUAUCGACGGCGGUGUUUGGCACCUCGAUGUCGGCUCAUCACAUCCUGGGGCUGAAGUAGGUCCCAAGGGUAUGGCUGUUCGCCAUUUAAAGUGGUACGCGAGCUGGGUUUAGAACGUCGUGAGACAGUUCGGUCCCUAUCUGCCGUGGGCGCUGGAGAACUGAGGGGGGCUGCUCCUAGUACGAGAGGACCGGAGUGGACGCAUCACUGGUGUUCGGGUUGUCAUGCCAAUGGCACUGCCCGGUAGCUAAAUGCGGAAGAGAUAAGUGCUGAAAGCAUCUAAGCACGAAACUUGCCCCGAGAUGAGUUCUCCCUGAGACUUAGAGUCUCCUGAAGGAACGUUGAAGACGACGACGUUGAUAGGCCGGGUGUGUAAGCGCAGCGAUGCGUUGAGCUAACCGGUACUAAUGAACCGUGAGGCUUAACCUU